rnacentral:rRNA from 1 species
UACAUGUGGGGCAAGCGUUGUUCGGAAUUACUGGGCAUAAAGGGUGCGUAGGCGGGUCUUUAAGUCAGGGGUGAAAUCCUGGAGCUCAACUCCAGAACUGCCUUUGAUACUGAAGAUCUUGAGUUCGGGAGAGGUGAGUGGAACUGCGAGUGUAGAGGUGAAAUUCGUAGAUAUUCGGAAGAACACCAGUGGCGAAGGCGGCUCACUGGACUGGUAUUGACGCUGAGGUGCGAAAGCGUGGGGAGCAAACAGG